ACAUUUCUUUUAGGUUAUUUUAAAAGUAAAGUCUGCCCACUGUUUAAUAUAAAGGGCCGCGGUAUUUUGACCGUGCAAAGGUAGCAUAAUCAUUAGUCUUUUAAUUGGGGAAUGGAAUGAAUGGCUUAAUGAUUUUUUUCUUUUAUACACAUUAAUUUAUAAUUUUGAUUUUAAGUGAAAAUACUUAAAUUUAUUAAUUAGACGAUAAGACCCUAUAGAAUUUUAUUUUUAUUAUUCAUUUUUUUAUAAUUAAAGUUUAAAUGGGGCAUUUUUUGAAUAAAAUUAAUUUCUUUAAGCUUAUUUUAAGUAUCUUUUUUUUAAUAUUUUAAAAAAAUUACCUUAGGGAUAACAGCGUAAUAAUCUUUGAGAGUUCAUAUCGACAAGAUAGUUUGCGACCUCGAUGUUGAAUUAAAAUACCUUUAUUAAGCAGUUUUUUUAUAAGGUGGUCUGUUCGACCAUAAAAAUUUUACAUGAUUUGAGU
rnacentral:rRNA from 1 species